CACUCCUGCGGGAGGCAGCAGUGGGGAAUAUUGGACAAUGGGGGCAACCCUGAUCCAGCCAUGCCGCGUGAGUGAUGAAGGCCCUAGGGUUGUAAAGCUCUUUUGUGCGGGAAGAUAAUGACGGUACCGCAAGAAUAAGCCCCGGCUAACUUCGUGCCAGCAGCCGCGGUAAUACGAAGGGGGCUAGCGUUGCUCGGAAUCACUGGGCGUAAAGGGUGCGUAGGCGGGUCUUUAAGUCAGGGGUGAAAUCCUGGAGCUCAACUCCAGAACUGCCUUUGAUACUGAGGAUCUUGAGUCCGGAAGAGGUGAGUGGAACUGCGAGUGUAGAGGUGAAAUUCGUAGAUAUUCGCAAGAACACCAGUGGCGAAGGCGGCUCACUGGUCCGGUACUGACGCUGAGGCACGAAAGCGUGGGGAGCAAACAGGAUUAGAUACCCGGGUAGUCCCAU
rnacentral:rRNA from 1 species